rnacentral:rRNA from 1 species
AGAUUGAACGCUGGCGGCAUGCUUUACACAUGCAAGUCGAGCGGCAGCGCGGGGGCAACCCUGGCGGCGAGCGGCGGACGGGUGAGUAAUGCAUCGGAACGUAUCCCGUAGUGGGGGACAACCCAGCGAAAGCUGGGCUAAUACCGCAUAUGCUCUACGGAGGAAAGCAGGGGGCCUGCAAGGGCCUUGUGCUAUGGGAGCGGCCGAUGUCCGAUUAGCUAGUUGGUGGGGUAAAGGCUUACCAAGGCGACGAUCGGUAGC